ensembl:misc_RNA 7SK 7SK RNA
GGAUGCAAAUUAGACAAUCUGGCAUGACAUCAGUCACUCCAUCAUCAUCAGGAUUAAAUCAGCUGACCUGAAUGUCUAGGUGACUGUUGCCUUUCUCCUUACUACUCCACGUGUAUCCAUCCCAGAAUUGUACUCUUAGCGGGAGAGUUUGAUCUUCUCUAUGGAGUAGGAUUGAUCUUUGGUCAAGGGUACAUGAGUAACUGUGCUCCUCUGCUAGAAGCUGCACACAAGCCCUUCAAAGCAGAUCAGGAAGGUCCCACCCCAGUGGAAACUCUUGAUUGUAGUUCCCAAGCAAGCAACACAGUGCUUCUUUUC